UACGAAGGGGGCUAGCGUUGCUCGGAAUCACUGGGCGUAAAGCGCACGUAGGCGGCUUUCUAAGUCAGGGGUGAAAUCCUGGAGCUCAACUCCAGAACUGCCUUUGAUACUGGAAAGCUUGAGUUCGGGAGAGGGAUGCAGAAUUCCAGGUGUAGCGGUGAAAUGCGUAGAUAUCAAGAGGAACACCUGAGGUGAAGACGGGUUGCUGGGCCGACACUGACGCUGAGUGCGCGAAAGCCAGGGGAGCAAACGGG
rnacentral:rRNA from 1 species